UCACCGGGUCUUUUCAGACCCACAUCUUACGAUUAUAAUAUUUAUAU
rfam:Habropoda laboriosa contig3843, whole genome shotgun sequence.